rnacentral:tRNA from 1 species
UAAGGUAAAGCUGAAUGGUAGAGUGCAUGCUUAGCAUGCAUGACGUCCUGGGUUCAAUCCCCAGUACCUCCA